GUGGGGAUUGAGCCCGAAACCUGGGCGUGUGCCCUGACUGGGAAUGGAACUGUGACCUCCUGGUUCAUAGGUCAAUGCUCAACCACUGAGCCACGCUGGUCAGGCCACUCAUGUUUUUAAGGAAAUUUUGAGUCUUCUGGUAGAAUUUAUAAGCUGAAGCUAGGCACAGGUGGUCCUUACUGAUUCCUAGUUGUAAAGUUUAUUCUAAUCAACAACACAAAUAUUUUAUCUAGACACUUUCCUGUAAGUUCAUAUUCACAUCGGUAUCUAUGUCUAAAACGAUGUGAUGCAUAAGGAAAUUCAAAAUCAAUUAGCUGUCACUGAAAACGUAAAACCUCAUUUAUUUGAGUUUUUAUUAAAAGGCAUGUUUUAAAAAUCCAUUUUAAUUAAGUAUUUAUAACUAACCAAAUAAUUGUCAAGUGGUAGUCCUUUAGGAUUUCUUUUCAUAAAAAGAAGAAAAAAAGUGGUAACUACUUUGAAGGGUUAAAUUGUAUCCCUCCUUUCUAUACUCUAGUCUAGGCCAGUGAUUCUAAUGUGCAGCCACGGUUGAGAACCACUGCUCUAGGCUGUAGAAAUCCUCAUGUGAACAAGUAUCAUGUGAGCUCAAUAUACACUCAACUGUUUAUAAUAGAGAAUAUAUAUGCUCAACUGUGUUUAUAAUAGCGAAACACAUCUACAUUGUGCUGUUAUAUUCAGCUGUUUGAUCUCUGAUGUAAUAAGUAGGAAAAAGUUUUAGAACAAUAUUUAUAGUAUGAUCCCUUUUUGGCUUUAGCCUCAUAACAGAAGAGGGAGAUGUUGCAAGGGAACUUUAAAUAAUAAAGUUAAUUUCUUCACAAGAAUGCAUUCAUGGAUUAUGUCUAUGAUCCUCAAAAAGGUUUAUUGUGAAGAAAAAGGAGAUGUCAGUUUCAAAUAUGAAGGCCAAUAUAAUGGUUGCCACUUGCAGUGCUAUGCCCUGAACAUUGUUCAAAUGUUUUACAUGUAGUAAAACUUUUAAUACUGAUGAUAAUCCUUUGAGGUAAUAGGGUAAUACCAGUAGUAACUUUAGCCCUGCUUUUGACUUUUAGUAUAUAAUUCCAUUAUUGAUUUUU